ACAUGCAUAAUUGUACACAUUCUCAUCUGAGGUUGGUUUAAGACAAGUAUCUAAAAUGAGAUUGCUUGCAGUCACCUACAUGUUAUUGUGAGACCUGUUGUAACUUCUAUAAAAGCCCCUGACAGGCCUCUGUUAUAUGCCGCUAUAUGCUGCCUCUGUUAUAUACUGCUGUAGAAAUGAUUUUGCAUGAGGUUUCUGUUGGAACUUCAGUGUAUCUCCACAUUCAUGAUAACUAAGAAGGAAUUACAUGCUCAUAGUAUUGUUCUGUCUUUCAGGUGACUAAUAAGCAGCCUUCUCCUGUGGCAGCAGACUCCAAGAUGGUCUCUGAUCUGAGUACCCUACAAAAAUCCCAGGGGGAGGAUGCUAACACACAGGUAAACAAGCUGUUACAAAAAGAAUCUGGGCACCAGAAGAAUGUUCUGCAGUAGAAAGGCAUUUGAGAAGGUUCUUAGUGAUGAAUGAAGUACCAGGUAAGGAAGACUGUCAGCAGUGCAUUGCUGCAGAACCUGAAGCCCUUGGAAGCAGAGAGUGGAAAGUGGUAAAAUAUCUCGUUAAAUACCGCAUUGCUUCCCACAGGAGAAAAUUACAAUGAAAGAUUGUAAGAUUUGUCUAAACACUUUAAUGUGUGUAAUGUUAAUGGUGUUUAUUAUUUUGUAUUAGUGUUUUUGUAGAUUCUCAUUGUUAUGGAAGCUGUAUGAUCUUUCUUCUCCUGAAAGCUGUGUAUAACAAUGGGUACACACAAUGUUCUGGACCUGAAUUUAUGUGAUCCUUACAUUUAUUAUUUGUUCGGGUCCUGUGAUCAGGAUCACACCAGUGAAAGCUCAUAGGUUUUGACAAAGCACACUGUGAUUGGUGUUUUUCUAUUAUUUUGUAUAGUUUUCACAGGGUUGAUCUGAAAGAUGUAUAUUUUAUUUACUUUUUUUUGUACUGAAACUGCCUGCACACUAUGUUCUAAUUUAUGUGGAACUGCCUUUUUUCAAAUAUAAAUACAUGCUUCUUGAGGACAAAA